CUUGCCAACUAAACUGUUUGCAAACUGGCGGUGCUUAGGCGCGGAUUACCUUGCUCGAUAAGGUAUGUGCGGUAGUUGGGAAGUAUACGCCCAUGUGCCUGGUCUAAAUGAUUUUGCUAAUAAGCAAUGGAGAAAUGGCUAAACAUGACGUGACGUUUCACGAAAACACACUUCUUCUCACCAAGAUCGUCUGGUCCAGAAUAGGUUACUUGCAGCAGACGACCGAUAUGACAAAGAGGCGUUAAUUGAAUUUAUUGGAAAUGCGUCGAAGCCCAAAACUGCCAAAAGUAUUCGCGAGAAAAGCGAAGAACUAACAGGCUGGUUACACAGUUCCAAAGUGUUACUACGGAAACCGGAAAAGACUCUGUGAAUUCCAAAGGAAAAGAUGGACCGCGGGAAUUUCUGAGUUGGAGAGAUUCAAGAUUGAAACUUACUCCAAACCCUAGAGAAAAUUAUGUGUUCAAACAUUAUCAAGACAUUAGGUAUUAUAUGAAACAAUAUCGCGAGGAGAAUUCCACAGUUGACAACGCAUCGCCUCAACCCCCAAAACGAGUCAGUGCGUUCUACCACCCAGGGUUCUACAACGUGGCUCCUCAACCAAGUCGUGAAUAUUCCAGUUGUCAUUUGUUGUCAAAAUUAGCCCAGUCCUCACAAAAUGGAACUUUUCAAUACACCAGACGGGACAGUCAAAAGUUAGAUAAAACCAAUUUAUACAAACUAGCUCCUACUACCGCACGUGCUGAUUCAGCAUCUUCCAGUGAGAAUGAGGUAAAAGGAAAUACUAUUCCUAGGAAUACUUCGGCGACUGGUACAAGAUCUAAACCAUCUACAACGGCAGGUAAAACUCCCACGAAAGUAAGCGUUCCAACACCUCACAAUGCAAUAUCCAGUGUCCAAAGCAAGCUAUCAGGUUCCAACUUACCAGGCUCAAACGGGAUUCCUGUGAAGUCGGAAGUGGUACCCACAGGGUCGAGGACAUUGGAUACACUGGCUUGUGUUGCUGCUCAGGAAGGACAGAUGUGGUUUGAUACAAAUGGCCGCGCGUAUGUCAGCCUAGCAACUCGCUAUGACCCUGUUACAAAGUAGUUAGAAAACAGGUGACCUUGACCCCAAGAACACUUGAUGGCCUGUCAUGGAGGGAGAAGCUGGAAGUUCUUCGACAGAUCAACAAACCUCCUGAGAGGAUAAAGCGAAGGCCACUUCGACUUACAUUCUACAAGGCUCAUGCAGAGUGUGAAAUGAUAGGUUGUCGAGAUCCCUUGUCACAUGACCAGGUCUCUCAUCAACGCAGAGUGAAACAUUUAAUUGAGCAAGCAAAGCUGAAAUGUCCAGUUCGACCUGCUGAGAACUUUGUAUCUUCCAAAUCCAAAUACUGGGUAACUGAUCCUGAAACUGGUUUAGAUGUGCAUUUGAAUAUUUCUCGUCCAAGGUUUUCCUUCAGCAAGCAUGACACUGGAUGCCAACCAAACACACCCAGAGAUGACAUUAUAUAUGAUGAUGACGCUGACUUCAACAAAAUUGAUUAUCGACUGGUCCGCAGCCCUGAGAAGGCAGCAAUUGGACUGCCACUGAUGAAAUGGGAAGCAUCUUUGCAUCAGUGUUCAUCCCCAAGACAGAUUCCCAGGUCACAGACUUCCAUCUUCCCUGAAUGAGUGAGAGAGUAUAGUUUUAUGCAGCUUCUAGCAAUAUUUCAGCUAUAACGCAGCAGGGGACAUUAAUAAUGGGCCUCCCUCAUUGUGCACAUGUGGGAAUGGAACCCUGGUGCUCAGUGUGGUGAGAAAACUCUUACCAAGAGGCUACAAAAGGUCCCCCAACUGAAACAGAAGUACAUGAGAUUAUUUCACUGUUGAAAGAGGAAACAUCUUGAUUGUAUCAGCUUCAGUUUGUCUAUGUUCUAAUGUGCCCAAGCUGCUAUGCAACUCCCUAGUUGAUCCUGUUAGAGCCUCUAGUUGAAGGUGACCAUAUUUGUUCUGACCAUGAUGUUAGGUGUCAGUUGUUGACUAUGUUCUCUUCACUAGACGUGGAUAUCUACUGGUACAAGUAUGUGUGGUAGGACUGACUGAGUUUGGUUUUACGCCGCUUUUAGCAAUAUUCCAGCAACAUCACGGCGGGGGAAGACCAGAAAUGGGCUUCACACAUUGUACCCAUGUGGGGAUUUGAACCCGGGUCUUCGGCGUGACGAGCCAACGCUUUAACCACUAGGCUACCACACCGCCCCUGUGUGGUAGGAUGUUUACAGCAAAAAUGUUUUAUAAAAAUAGAUAUGUAUGACAUUGCCAUUCCUAGUCUUUCAUACAUGUGUCUGUCUGUUUGUCCUUUUUACACAUUCUGCUUCUAUGUGUUUGAAUAAAUGCUUUUCUGUCAAAUGAGUAGUUAAUAAUAUAUAUAUGUCACACCUGGUAUAUCAAUAAAUAGUCGGCCAAUAGUC